GACAGAGGGGGCAAGCGUUGCUCGGAAUCACUGGGCGUAAAGGGCGCGUAGGCGGGAUGGCAAGUCAGUCGUGAAAUCUCUCGGCUCAACCGAGAAACGUCGGCUGAUACUGCCGUUCUUGAGGGAUGCAGAGGAGGCUGGAAUUCCCGGUGUAGCGGUGAAAUGUGUAGAGAUCGGGAGGAACACCGGUGGCGAAGGCGGGUCUCUGGGCAUCUCCUGACGCUGAGGCGCGAAAGCGUGGGGAGCAAACGGG
rnacentral:rRNA from 1 species